AUUAUUAAAUUGCUUUGAAGGCAACUUGUUUAAUUUAGUCAUCUUUGUAAAUCCAUAUAUUUCUGUAUUGAUGUAGCUUGUAAUUUUAUAGCUUGCUAAACCACAAGUCUGGAUGAUAGUUCUUCAAGUCUGAGUCAGCCUCAUAAAUAAUGUAAGCUUAUGGUAGUGUGCUUUACAUAAGAUGAUCAAACAAUGGCUUUCUUUAAAUUUGUAGGAAUUUUCUCAAAAGCUAUGGUUGUUACCUGCUAGGUUGUUUUGUCAAGUUUGACAGCAAAAUUAUUUACAUGUCAGGUUUGUGGUUGUUUACUGCAGAUUUAAAAGAAGAAAAAAAAAAUUCUGGUGUUGAUGUAUGUCUGCAAGAUAGACAGACAUGCAGACAUUUUUGUUAUGAAGUGCCUUAGUUGAGGGUUUCAAGCCUGUUUAUAAUUUUCCUUUUCUGCUAAUUAUUGGUGUAUUUAAUACUAUCACUAGUAUUUAUUCCAUCGAGUGACUGUCAGGUUGACUAGUUUACAAUGUUCUGAGUUGUUGGUCAUGGCUGGAGGCAAAUACCUGUUAAUGUAAUAUGAAGAUAAUUUUAUGAAAUUAUUACAUGCAAACAAUGUAAAAAAA